UACGUAGGGGGCGAGCGUUGUCCGGAUUUACUGGGCGUAAAGGGCGCGUAGGCGGCCUUCUAAGUCGAACGUGAAAUCCCCGGGCUCAACCCGGGAACUGCGUCCGAUACUGGAAGGCUUGAAUCCGGGAGAGGGAUGCGGAAUUCCAGGUGUAGCGGUGAAAUGCGUAGAUAUCUGGAGGAACACCGGUGGCGAAGGCGGCAUCCUGGACCGGUAUUGACGCUGAGGCGCGAAAGCCAGGGGAGCAAACAGG
rnacentral:rRNA from 1 species